GUGCAAAACGUACGCCGCUUACUCUAAUCAUAGACUCUAAUAGCCGUCUACUUCAUAGAUAUCUAUAAGAAAGGCUAGAUGACUCGAGGCGGAGUCGCCAUAGACUGGUCAUCUAGCGUUUAUAUAUCUAUGGUUUACUGCACCUAUCAAUACAAACAUGAGUAGACAAACAUUCGCUCUCAUCUCUCAUCUCAUCUCUUUUAAUAUUUUGGAGCUGUAAUCUGGCUAAGGUGAAUUUUCUGUGGCUGAAGUUGCUGUUUUGUCUGAGCUGAAGCUCUAAAGUAAGAGGAUUGUUUAUUGUAUAACAGCUGUAGUUUCAUGUUUCAGCGCUGAGAUUGUGCAUUUAUCAUGACUUAUCAUUUGUAAAUCUUCAAUUCUGCCUGUGAAUUGUUGAAGAAUGUGUUUGUGGAUGAACCGGCACGUGCAUUUUCUUCUGAGACAACCAUCACAAAGUUUUUAAGAUAUGAAUACACACAAGUUAAAGAUAUUCACGUGUGAAGAACACCACCACUACCAUUCACUGGGCGGCAGUGUUGCACCUUCUAUUGAGCGCAUAGACCGUGUGGAAGAUGAUUGACAGCUAUCCACCUUAGAAGUGGGGAGAAAUUUCUCUGCUUCUAUAGAUAAUCGCUGUCAAUCAUCCUCUUCACAGUCUACACCCUUAACAGAGAGACAGAGAGCUCUUUAUUCAUAUGUGGUCAAGUUUAACCCAAAAUAAACUCGAAUUCUGAUGUUUUAUUUGUUUUAUUUUAUGGUUCAGUUGCCCGCAGUUUGGACUCGACAUAUUGGAUGAAGAGGAGCAGAGGAGGAGCAAACAGAGCAGUGGAUACUCUCAGGUGAUGUUAUCAUCUGUGUUUUUAAAGUUCAUCAGUGUUUUAAUUACUAGAAAAUUAAUUAUUGUGUUGUAGAUGAGACACAACUUGAAGAAAACAUAGAGGUCGAAACACCAGGGUUACAAUUUAAUGGAUUUUUUCACCAACAAUCCCAUAUCAGCUGACAUUAAUGUGUUUUUGAAAUUAAUUCGCUGCAUGAAAAAACAAGCAGAAGUAUGAUUGACUUUCUUGUAAAUGUUUCUAUAAAUUAAAUCAGUCUAAGUUUUUUUGUCAUGAUUUUAAAGUUAUGGUAUUCUUAAAUUUAAAAAAAAUUACGCCAACAAUAGUACAAAAUUUUCAGCUUUAAAUCUCAGCCACCUCUGCCUUAUAACCCCCCAUUUUACCUCUCCGGAAACAUCAGAGGGAAACCCCACCCCCAGGCCUGGUUCCCCAGCAUUUGCUUCAGGAUCUUCUUUUCUGGAGUCCCAGUCAGUUUCCUUAUCCUCUGAUCCAUGUGGACACACAGGAAUAUCCUGUUUUUUUCCUAUUUCACUGUCCUUUGUAGACACCAGGCUUUAAUUUAUAAAGAAAAGACUAGAGGUGCUUUCAUUAGAUCGAGGAGAAAAUGGCUAGAGCAAGGUGAGAAGUGCUUUAAGUAUUUCUUCAACCUUGAAAAAAGAAAUGUUGAAAUGUCUUCUGUGAGAAAACUUAAGAAAAAGACAAUCUUCUGUUUGUCAGUUUUUAGGUAUUUUGAACCGCAUUUAAACUGUAUGAAAACUUAUAAAUCCACCUACAGCUGAUUUAUGCCCCAGGUUUGCACAUUGAUGAGAAUUUCUUAUUUCUUUUCUUGUUUGAUCAACAGUUUUCAUUCCCAACAGCACCUUGUCUGCUUACUCGAUACUUGAAGCUUCUUCCUACAAAAAAACAUCAGUAAUUUUACUUUUCUAUUUUUCAUAUCUGGAGGGUAAGUACCCAUCAAGUUGACUGUAACUCUCUCUUUCUUCCUUUUCUGUUUUUGGACUGUAUGGUUUAUAUUUUGUUAACAGCAAAAAUGUCCAAUAGAUUACACAUUUCAGUUUUUUAGAUUUGAUGGAUACACUUUACUUGGAUGUUUGAGAAAAAAGAUGGCUGCUAACUUAUCAAAAGUUCAAACACUUAAGUGAAAAAUCUUUGUUUUUUUUCCCUCACAGCAGUCAUUUUUUCACAUGAUCUUUUCGGUGUUGGUACAGUAGAUUUUGUUACGCCGUUUUCUCAAAUCAUCAGAUACAUGCUUGCUGAGAGGGAUGCGACAGAAAAACAAUGCUUUCACCGUUUCACACAAAAUGAUCAGGCUGAAUAUGUGAGAAGUUUGACUCAUCAGAUUGGCCUUUAGACCGUGGCAGAGUGAAAAAGUUUGUCCACAAGACGGGAUGAGGUGAUAAAACCUGGGUCAGUGCUCACUCUGAGGAUUACUGUUUCAUGUUUUGGACUGAUACGAACUGCUUCAUAUGGAGUCAUCCUAAUACAAAAACAUUGUACUCCAAUAAAAUUCAAAUUAAUGUGAGUAUUCACUCUUGUGUUAUUAUCAUAGUUACACUCAAAAUGGUUCACUUUUCCUUAUUUUCAAACUGCAGACAGUGAAGAGACAGAAAUCAUCUGAGGACAGACCAGUUUUUGACAUACUGUUAAUGAGAAGGAAAUCAAUAAGGCUUAAAUAUUCUGUUUUACCAUUUCUAAUCUUGUGUUUUGUAUCUGCAGAGAUUAUGCUCUUCAUAUUUUGAACCUGGUGAUACCCUUCUGAGUGAUCACAUCUUUACUCUUCAUAUAGCUGCAGUCGUGUUUACUCUGCGGUUGAUGGGGAUGGAGAUUUAGCUUCCCCGUCUCUCUGGCUCAUCCAAUCGUCCUUUAGUUCAGUGGUUCUCCAGUCCAG